GAGGGUAUAGCUCAAGUGGUAGAGCAUAUGCUUAACAUGCAUGAGGUCCUGGGUUCAAUCCCCAGUACCUCUU
rnacentral:tRNA from 1 species